GGCGAGAUGGCCGAGCGGUCUAAGGCGCCAGACUAAGGACCAGGGCACAGAGGUGUUCAUUCCCUUCCUCCUCCAAGGAAUCUGGUCUUUCGGGGCGUGGGUUCGAAUCCCACUCUCGUCA